GGUGUCGCUGUUUUUUUCCCAGUACUGUUACUAUGGAAAACAACACCGGAAGUGCUUCAGCUCUCGCCUGAUGUGAUUGGUCGAGGUGGGUGCCACUCAAAUCUCUCCCCAACCAAUCAGCGACGACCUCCACCGCCAUCAGCGUCACCGCCUCCUCGAAACCGCUAUUUGCAGCAGGAGAGAAAAAAAAAGCGGAGGCUCGUUUCUUUUUCCUUUUUUCCCAAAAAAUAUUUUGCGGUUUGCGGCUUUUUUCCUUUUUUUCUUUCCUGGUUCGGGAGAAGAAGUGAGCGGGAGGAGUGCGCCCGUCUCUCGUCCUGCCGUCGUCAUGGCGCAGAGGCGACUUUGAAGCCGAAAAUAAAAAUGCGUCCCCGGAGCGUUUGAACCUGUUCCCUCCCGCAGCCCCGCACAAAGCCUGUGGACCAGGCCCGUGUUUUCUCCACGCACCGGGACGCCGACGAUGCUCGAACAAUGUCGGGGAAUCACUACAAAGGGCACGAAGUCAGCUGCUGCAUCAAAUACUUCAUUUUUGGAUUCAACAUCCUGUUCUGGCUGCUGGGCAUGGCCUUAGUGGGCAUCGGACUGUGGGCAUGGAGUGAGAAGGGGGUUCUGUCCAACAUCUCGUCCAUCACGGAUCUGGGGGGUCUGGACCCGGUCUGGCUCUUCAUGGUGGUGGGCGGGGUCAUGUUCAUCCUGGGCUUCGCCGGAUGCAUCGGGGCGCUGAGGGAAAACACGUUCCUGCUCAAGUUUUUCUCCGUGUUUCUGGGAAUCAUCUUCUUCCUGGAGCUGACGACGGGGGUGCUGGCGUUCGUCUUCAAGGACUGGAUUAAAGACCAGCUCAACCUGUUCAUCAACAACAACAUCCGGGCGUAUCGGGACGACAUCGACCUGCAGAACCUUAUUGACUUCACUCAGGAAUAUUGGGAAUGCUGUGGUGCGUUUGGAGCGGACGACUGGAACCUGAACAUCUACUUUAACUGCACUGAUGGAAAUCCCAGCCGGGAGAAAUGUGGCGUUCCCUUCUCCUGCUGCACCAAGGACCCAGCGGAGGAUGUGAUCAACACCCAGUGUGGAUACGACGUCCGAGCUAAACCCGACGCGGAGCAGAAGGAUCACAUCAACGUGAAAGGCUGUGUGCCGCAGUUUGAGAAGUGGCUGCAAGACAACCUCACCUUAGUGGCCGGGAUCUUCAUCGGAGUAGCUCUGCUGCAGAUUUUUGGAAUUUGUUUGGCCCAGAACUUAGUGAGUGACAUCGAAGCCGUGAGGGCGAGCUGGGUGCCCCCCCCUCUCUUCAUGCGCCGACUCCCACCACCACACUCCAGCAAGAAAGCGUCGGCUUACUACUCAUGAGAGGCGCACACAUGCUGCAUGUGUGUGUUUGUUUGCUGCUUCUUUACCUAAAGCCGAGGCAGCGUUUCCAUUCUAACAGCUCCAUCCUUGAACUCGCCAUCGGGGAGCGUUUGGAAGAACCUGUCACUUGCACCAUUUCCCUCACUGAACCAGCACCUUUUAGCAAGGCACUAAUGUGUUAAACAGCUCUGUAUAUAUAUAUACACACACACAUAUAUAUGUAUACAUAUAUACAUACACUGUGCGUGACUACUGUAAGGGAAAAAAAGGAGAAAAGGAUGGUUUGACGUGCCCUACAUGCGGUUUUGUCGUGUAGGGAGUAGGAGUUUUGAUAAACCUUUUGAUAUUAGAUCUGUAUUUUUCACUAGUGGAAACUCAUGACCCGUCACUAAACUAAACACAUCGUAGAGGACUGCGAAUCUGUGCCUACGAGAAGCCGAGGCAUUUUUAAUUUUUUUUUUUUUUAACUGACGCACUGUACGAAGGCGUCGCAAAGAAACUUGCACUACAUGAUUCAAGUAGUCUCUAGGAACCUGAACACAGCUGUUGUUGCACUAACCAUGAAUUUACCACGGUCCCGGUCGUCUUCAGUGGAUGUUUAGUUGAAUUAAUUAAAUGGAGGAGUAUAGUAAUAGUAGUAGUAGUAGUAGUACCACGGUUUGGACGACCAGUAGUUGAUUUCUUUACCCCUCAGGUUCAAACUGUCCUGUCAACGCUACUAGACUAGAAACAAUGUCCCUGCAAAUAUACAGACAAAUACAUCUGAAGGUAGUAGAAGGUUGCGGCAGGAGGUUUUCUAAAUUGCGGCAAAACCUGUGAGCAACUAGCGAGGUGUACUACCUACACCUACUCAGCGUAGAAAAGGUUUCCUUCUAGAUUAGUGAUGCACUGAUCAGGCAUGACAUCAUGACCACCUUCCUAAUGUUGUCACGGUCUCCUAUGUGACUCCACAACAGACGGGACUCAUCAGGGAAUGGACGUGGGACUUCUGAGGGUUGUUAGCAGAGGGUCUUUGGGUCCUGUGGGUUCCUACGGAUACUUGAUCAGUUUGGGAUCUAGUGAAUUUGGAGGACAGGUCAACACCUUGACCAUGUUGGCCCAUUGCCCCUUUCCCGGUAACUAGUCUUCAAGAGCUGUGUUUGGUCCACUUGGUAGUAGCGCAUUUCCUCUUUAGUAUCUCCACCUGCUUCUCCAUCUUCACCAAUUGUCAAAUUCAUUGUCAUGGAUUAAUAAAGAUGGAACACGUGGAGGAAAGGUUAGCGGAGGAGGUUCCAAGGUACAAACAUUCGUACGACUCGGCUUCUACGAAAGUUUCAAAUUUGCCGUUGUUGAAAGUGAAGCAGGAAGUAGAUACAAAUAUUAACCGACUGUCAAAAAAAAAAAGACUUUGUGGAGUUGUUGUAGAGUGAGCCAGACUUACGAGGCUACGUACAUAGAUUACAGCGUCUAUGUCACCUCCACUGAGCCUUAACAUCCUAACGAAUGCCAGGUCCAAAUGUUUCCCAGCAGAACACUGAACUGUCACAAGAUGGUUUAAACGUCAGUAACUUCUUCCAUCGGUGGUCAUAAUGUUGUGGCUGAUCAGCGAGUGUUGUACUUUUGAAUUCGUUGCCUGGUACGACGCCCCACUGAAGAAUAACCAGGGUUCAUUCUCCGUCCCGUUCACACCACGUUGUCACCGUAAAGUUUUCCAGUCGCCUUUUAUCUCCCGUUGUAUAUAAAGUGUGUUUGAGGCUACGCUAACGUUUAUAGCCGUUCAUCCCUCUGACGUCUGUCUGUGAAGGUUCUCAGUCAUCCAGGGUCACGGUGGCGUUUCCAGAGACAUUAAAGACACGCAACUUUAAAGUCUGUGGAUGCACCACACUUUACAUUAUUAGUAUUAUUAUUAUUAUUACUUUUACUACUACAGCCAGGAAGCUAAUAUUAGAACCAUGAGUAUUAGAGCAUCAUUAGAGGAUUUUUAAGACAUUGUUUUUUUUUUCACAUUUUCUUUACUACAGCAUUCAUGCACUUAAGCAGAUUUUGACACAGAUCUGAUCAACGCAAUGAACGAGAAGCUGAAAUCUGAGACCACAAGAUAAAAACGUUUUUACUGUUUUGAUUUAAAGUGAUGAUCUGAACUGAGCCUGCAUUUGCAGUAAAGUGUUGUUUUUGAGAAAUAUUAAGCUACUUUAAAAGGUACCAACACUGUUUUUUUGUUUUAUACUAAAUAUUUAUUAAUUUGGUUUUCCGACACUGAAAACGUUCAGCAUUGCCGAAGCAGAUUUGCUUUUGGAGGUUUGGAGGAUGUAAAAUGUUUUUCUAACGAGGGUCACGCCGUAAAGACCGCUCACUCGUCCACUACCACCCGUCCCCACUAGCGUUCACCGAUUGUCCCACGAGCAUUGUACUGUAACUACCUCUUCUCAUCUUCCUGUCUCAUGUCCUGUUAAAAGAAGAAAAAAUUGGCCUGAUUUUAAUAUCAAGUCAAAUUAAUUAAUAAAGCAGACAAAAACAC